AAAAGAAGAAACAAAGAAAGAGAGUUUCCGCGUAGACAGAUGAGACUGAGAGGUGACUACUGUGAUGAAAGAAGCUUUUAAUUUGUUUGGUUUGAUUUUCGUUUCCGGAAAUCUGAUCGAAUAAUAAAAACGCUCGCUGGCUUUGACACCUAUGCGGCAAUUAAAUUAUAAAGGGGGCAAUAUACAAAAUCUCUUUCUUCUUUC
rnacentral:lncRNA from 1 species